AUUCUCACUUCAUUUAUUACCUCAAUAAACAUUUUCAUAAAGAGUUUAUGGCCUCUAUAAGGUUAGAAAUGUUCUUCC